rnacentral:rRNA from 1 species
GUGGGGAAUAUUGGACAAUGGGGGGAACCCUGAUCCAGCCAUGCCGCGUGUGUGAAGAAGGCCUUUUGGUUGUAAAGCACUUUAAGCGAGGAGGAGGCUUACCUGGUUAAUACCUAGGAUAAGUGGACGUUACUCGCAGAAUAAGCACCGGCUAACUCUGUGCCAGCAGCCGCGGUAAUACAGAGGGUGCGAGCGUUAAUCGGAUUUACUGGGCGUAAAGCGCGCGUAGGUGGUUAAUUAAGUCAAAUGUGAAAUCCCCGAGCUUAACUUGGGAAUUGCAUUCGAUACUGGUUAGCUAGAGUAUGGGAGAGGAUGGUAGAAUUCCAGGUGUAGCGGUGAAAUGCGUAGAGAUCUGGAGGAAUACCGAUGGCGAAGGCAGCCAUCUGGCCUAAUACUGACACUGAGGUGCGAAAGCAUGGGGAGCAAACAGGAUUAGAUACCCCAGUAGUCC